rnacentral:rRNA from 1 species
GACGAACGCUGGCGGCGUGCCUAAUACAUGCAAGUAGAACGCAGUUGCGAACGGGUGAGUCACGCGUAGGUAACUGCCUCAUAGCGGGGGAUACCUAUUGGAAACGAUAGCUCAUACCGCAUACUGUGAGAUGGACCUGCGUUGUAUUAGGUAGUUGGUGAGGUAAACGCUCACCAAAGCGACGAUACAUAGCCGACCUGAGAGGGUGAUUGGCAACAAUGGGACUGAGAAACGGCCCAGAAUCCUACGGGAGGGAGCAGUAGGGGAUCUUCGGCAAUGGACGGAAGGCUGACCGAGCAACGGCGCGGGAGUGAAGAAGGUUUUCGGAUCGGAAAGCUCUGUUGUGAUAGGAGCGGUAACUAACCAGAAAGGGACGGCUAACUACGUGCCAGCAGCCGCGGUAAUUC